GUGUCAGCCGCCGCGGUAAGACGAAGGUGGCAAGCGUUGUUCGGAUUCACUGGGCAUAAAGGGCGCGUAGGCGGUUCCGAAAGUGGCAUGUGAAAGCCCCCGGCUCAACCGGGGAAGUGCGUGCCAAACUUCGGUCCUAGAGGGUGGGAGGGGGGACUGGAACUCUCGGUGGAGCGGUGAAAUGCGUAGAUAUCGAGAGGAACACCGGUGGCGAAGGCGAGUCCCUGGUCCACUUCUGACGCUGAGGCGCGAAAGCGUGGGUAGCAAACAGGAUUAGAAACCCCCGUAGUCC
rnacentral:rRNA from 1 species